rnacentral:lncRNA from 10 species
AGGGGUCCCGGCCUUGAAAAGAAGCGUCCCGGAGCUGCACCUUGGGCUCCUGGGUAACGAAGCGCCCGCCUGGAUUUAUAGGGGUGAGCUUCCCUCAUGGAGAGCCUUGUGAGGAUUAGCCACCUCCUCUUAUAUUGCUGUUAGUUAAAAAUAAAGUCGGGUUGCAACCCACUAUAAAUCUUAUUCUACAUGUUACGAAUUCAAGACACAGAGGGCUGCUAUCCAGUGUGCUAGCCAUAGACACCAAAUGUCUUGGUUCCCAAUCUUUUGCAUUAGAGAUAUGUGCGACAUAUUUAGGGGUUAAAUGGUAUGAUGUCUGGAAUUUGCUUGAGAAUAGUGGGGAGCGGGAGGUGAAAAAUAAAGCAAGUUGGCCGUUAAGUAAGGCCAUAGAAGCUGCAUGGUCGUUCUUAUUUACUAUUCUCGGUACUUUUGUACAUAUUAGA